GAAGCACCUAAUUUGGCAGCAGGACACUGAAGAAGUCAGAUGGACUCCUGUUUGCUCCUGCAUGUAGAAAUACAGGUCACAUGGGUAUGGGCCUCGGAUGGAAGGCAAAACUGAUGAAGGCACUGGAUGAACAUCGGACUGUCACAUUGUAUGGCCCUCAGAUGGAAGACAAAACAAAUGAAGGUACUGGAUGAACAUCAUGCUCCUCACCUGGCAACCCUGGAAGUUCCUCAUUUGGCAGCUGGACACUGAAGAAGUCAGAUGGACCCAUUCGUGUUUGCUCCUGCAUGUCGACAUGCCCUCAAGAAAACAUGUCAAUUUGUUAUUAAUCUCUUUUGGCACCUAAGACAUAACAUGUCAGUCAUUCACUGCAAAAAAUGAAAUUCUUGGUAAGCUU